rnacentral:lncRNA from 1 species
UUCAAAUAGCAAAAAAUAUAAGGAGAGACGUCGAUCUUGAAGUCGAGAGGGAGUAAAGGAUCUGAAAGAGAAGACGAAUCAUUCAAAACAUAUCUGAGUUGCUUUCGUAAUGAAUAUAGAAAAAUUGAAUAAGGAAACCUAAGAUUGGUAGAGUCGUACAAAACCCGAAUUCUCCUACGGACCUUCCAUAUUUAGAAUGCAGCUUCUGCCACCUUUCGACUCCACUUAAGACCACCUCCAUCCAUAGGAACCCUUAUGGGUAGAGAUGGACUUGGACCGCGGGCCUGUCCCGUAAAAGACUGUAACGGGACAGUAUUAGGACAAGGUUUUCUAGGCCCGCAAAUUUGCGGACAUCGUGGGACGGGUCUUUGCGGGACUGGGCCUUUUGCGGGAUGGACCGAAACGGGUCAUGCGGGAUUACAUGGACCCGCAUUUUUUUAUUUUUUUUUACCUGAAAAAAAACGAGAGAGAGAGAGAGUGAGAAGAAAGCGAUUCUUGUGACUUUUCUCCCAGAAAACAUAAGCAGUUCUGAUAAUGAUGAUUCGAGCUCCGGUGAUGAUGAUUCGAGAUCUGGCGAUGACGACUCCAGCUCCAGCGAUGACGAUUCGAGCUCUGGUGGUGUUUCGAUUUGGUUUUCUCUUUUUAUUACACACAACUAUGAAUUGCUUUAUUACAAUGUGGAUUUCUUGUUUAAGUUGAUUGAUUUUGUUUUCAGUGCUGUGAAAUUAUGUUUUUCUUAAAUUAAAUUUGGUUACUAUGAUAUUGUUUAGGAG